rnacentral:ncRNA from 1 species
UUGGCAAAACCGUUGAAAAGCGGUGACGCAAAGCGAAGAGGCUAAGGUUUUAUACUAUGCCAGUCCAGCUGC